rnacentral:rRNA from 1 species
GAUGAACGCUGGCGGCGUGCCUAAUACAUGCAAGUCGAGCGAACGGACGAGAAGCUUGCUUCUCUGAUGUUAGCGGCGGACGGGUGAGUAACACGUGUAUAACCUACCUAUAAGACUGGUAUAACUUCGGGAAACCGGAGCUAAUACCGUAUGAUAUUUUGAACCGCAUGGUUCAAAAGUGAAAGACGGUCUUUCUGGCACUUAUAGAUGGAUCCGCGCUGCAUUAGCUAGUUGGUAAGGUAACGGCUUACCAAGGCAACGAUGCAUAGCCGACCUGAGAGGGUGAUCGGCCACACUGGAACUGAGACACGGUCCAGACUCCUACGGGAGGCAGCAGUAGGGAAUCUUCCGCAAUGGGCGAAAGCCUGACGGAGCAACGCCGCGUGAGUGAUGAAGGUCUUCGGAUCGUAAAACUCUGUUAUUAGGGAAGAACAUAUGUGUAAGUAACUGUGCACAUCUUGACGGUAACUAAUCAGAAAGCCACGGCUAACUACGUG